UUUCAGCUAAAAAUGCGUUAGCGAUAGGAGUGAUAUCCUUUUUUUGCUUUGAUAAGUGGCAAAAAAAGAUUUAACGGAUAGCGCGUUCCCGA
rnacentral:sRNA from 1 species